rnacentral:other from 1 species
GAUAGCCUGCCCUGUUCGUGGUAGGAAGGUUUAGAUUGGGGUCCACAUGGUGAGGCUAUAGGGAGCCCGGGCUCCAGGAGAGCCUCAGCGUAGGCAUCCUGGGAGGGCACCCACCUGUAUUGGUUUGGGGCCCACCGAAGGCCUUCUUACCACGGCAAGGGUGGGUUUUUC